rnacentral:misc_RNA from 1 species
GAUGAAGAACGUAGCGAAAUGCGAUACGUAAUGUGAAUUGCAGAUCUCUCAGUGAACCAUCGAAUCUUUGAACGCACAUUGCGCCCGGUAGUAAUCUGCCGGGCAUGCCUGUCCGAGCGUCAUUUCUCCCCUCGAGCGCGGCUUCACGGCCUGUCGCUCGGUGUUGGGGCGCUACGGUGGGAGCCCCGCGCUCCCCCGUAGGCCCCGAAAUGUAGUGGCGGUCCCGCCGCGGCGCCCCCUGCGUAGUAGUCUUACAACUCGCAUCGGGACCCGGCGGAGGCCAGCCGUCAAACCCCCAACUUCAAUAGUUUGACCUCGGAUCAGGUAGGGUUACCCGCUGAACUUAAGCAUAUCAAUAAGCGGAGGA